CUACCCUUGACAUGUCCAGUAUGGUUUCCAGAGAUGGAUUCCUUCAGUUCGGCUGGCUGGAACACAGGUGCUGCAUGGCUGUCGUCAGCUCGUGUCGUGAGAUGUUGGGUUAAGUCCCGCAACGAGCGCAACCCUCAUCCUUAGUUGCCAUCACGUUUGGGUGGGCACUCUAAGGAAACUGCCGGUGGUAAGCCGGAGGAAGGUGGGGAUGACGUCAAGUCCUCAUGGCCCUUACGGGUAGGGCUACACACGUGCUACAAUGGCAGUGACAAUGGGUUAAUCCCAAAAAGCUGUCUCAGUUCAGAUUGUCCUCUGCAACUCGAGGGCAUGAAGGUGGAAUCGCUAGUAAUCGGGAUCAGCA
rnacentral:rRNA from 1 species